rnacentral:rRNA from 1 species
UACGGAGGGGGCUAGCGUUGUUCGGAAUUACUGGGCGUAAAGCGCACGUAGGCGGCUUUGUAAGUUAGAGGUGAAAGCCCGGGGCUCAACCCCGGAACAGCCUUUAAGACUGCAUCGCUAGAAUCCGGGAGAGGUGAGUGGAAUUCCGAGUGUAGAGGUGAAAUUCGUAGAUAUUCGGAAGAACACCAGUGGCGAAGGCGGCUCACUGGACCGGUAUUGACGCUGAGGUGCGAAAGCGUGGGGAGCAAACAGG